rnacentral:rRNA from 1 species
GACAGAGGGGGCAAGCGUUGCUCGGAUUCACUGGGCGUAAAGGGUGCGUAGGUGGUUAGGUAAGUCCGAUGUGAAAUCUCCAGGCUCAACCUGGAAAUGGCAUUGGAUACUAUCUAGCUUGAGGAGUGGAGGGGGGACUGGAAUUCUCGGUGUGGCAGUGAAAUGCGUAGAUAUCGAGAGGAACACCAGUGGCGAAGGCGAGUCCCUGGACACUUCCUGACACUGAGGCACGAAAGCUAGGGGAGCAAACAGG